AACGGCCAUAUCACGUUGAAACAUCGGUUCCCCUACGAUCACCGAAGAUAAGCCACAUCGGACCUAUUCAGUAUCAAGAGGGGUGAACGCUUGAGAAUACCAGAUUCUGUAA